GCGGUUGCCGGUUCACGUCCGCCACAGGGGCGGUCGACCCGGGGCC
rfam:Bifidobacterium asteroides PRL2011, complete genome.